rnacentral:rRNA from 1 species
GACGAACGCUGGCGGCGUGCUUAACACAUGCAAGUCGAACGGAAAGGCCCCAGCUUGCUGGGGUACUCGAGUGGCGAACGGGUGAGUAGCACGUGGGUGAUCUGCCCUGCACUCUGGGAUAAGCCUGGGAAACUGGGUCUAAUACCGGAUAGGACCGUGCUUUAGUGUGUGCGGUGGAAAGUUUUUCGGUGCAGGAUGAGCCCGCGGCCUAUCAGCUUGUUGGUGGGGUAAUGGCCUACCAAGGCGGCGACGGGUAGCCGGCCUGAGAGGGUGUACGGCCACAUUGGGACUGAGACACGGCCCAGACUCCUACGGGAGGCAGCAGUGGGGAAUAUUGCACAAUGGGCGCAAGCCUGAUGCAGCGACGCCGCGUGGGGGAUGACGGCCUUCGGGUUGUAAACCCCUUUCGGCAGGGACGAAGCUUUUGUGACGGUACCUGCAUAAGAAGCACCGGCUAACUACGUG